UGGGGAAUAUUGGACAAUGGGCGAAAGCCUGAUCCAGCAAUGCCGCGUGAGUGAUGAAGGCCUUAGGGUUGUAAAGCUCUUUUACCAGGGAUGAUAAUGACAGUACCUGGAGAAUAAGCUCCGGCUAACUCCGUGCCAGCAGCCGCGGUAAUACGGAGGGAGCUAGCGUUGUUCGGAAUUACUGGGCGUAAAGCGUACGUAGGCGGUGACUCAAGUCAGAGGUGAAAGCCUGGAGCUCAACUCCAGAACUGCCUUUGAAACUAGGUCGCUAGAAUCACGGAGAGGUGAGUGGAAUUCCGAGUGUAGAGGUGAAAUUCGUAGAUAUUAGGAAGAACACCAGUGGCGAAGGCGGCUCACUGGAUCGGUACUGACGCUGAGGUGCGAAAGCGUGGGGAGCAAACAGGAUUAGAUACCCAGGUAGUCCCUGAGCGGGCUGGCAAGGCGCAU
rnacentral:rRNA from 1 species